rnacentral:rRNA from 1 species
GAUGAACGCUGACAGAAUGCUUAACACAUGCAAGUCAAGGUGGCGGACGGGUGAGUAACGCGUAAGAACUUGCCUCACAGAUAGGGACAACAUUUGGAAACGAAUGCUAAUACCUGAUACUGUGAGAGAGCUUUGCGUCCCAUUAGCUAGUUGGAGAGGUAACGGCUCACCAAGGCGAUGAUGGGUAGCCGGCCUGAGAGGGUGAUCGGCCACACGGGGACUGAGACACGGCCCUUACUCCUACGUGAGGCAGCUGGGGUGAAUAUUGGACAAUGGGCGAAAGCCUGAUCCAGCCAUGCCGCGUGUGUGAAGAAGGUCUUCGGAUUGUAAAGCACUUUAAGUUGGGAGGCGUGACCGACAGAAUAAGCACCGGCUAACUCUGUGCCAGCAGACGCGGUAAUAC